GUCUCCUCACAACUAGGGCACCUACCAGGCACCGGUGGGGGACCACGGACACCGAAGGGGUCGGGAGGAACCCUCUGCGACCGGAGAAAAUGAAUGCGGGAUAAGAACGACUGUCUCUCAGCUGCCAUACAGCUGUUGGAGGUAAACCACUGGUGAUAGAGCAUUUGAGGGACGAAGAACUAGCAAACAACAGAGACUCGAUGCUAUCAGGCCCCAGAAUUGGCCAGGAAAGGUCUCAACACAGACAGGAUCACUCAGAAAAACACCUCCAAACGCUUGCUGAACAGCUGCUCUGUGCCUGGCUCUAGACAGUUCCUGGGUUAGAAGGGAAGGAGCCACGGUCCCUGCAGGGAGGACCACGCAUUCUCGAGCAGAA